GAUUACACUUGACUAUGAAGCAAGUCAUCCCAGAAGUCCCAGGCAGACUGGCAGCUGCCGCCAAGCCCCCGGCUCUUAGUGAUGAACCUUCAGACGUCUGGAACAUGAAAUGAACUUCCUUGGCGAGCUUCUCUGCACCCCGAGGACGGCCUCCUGCAGACACGCCCAGGCCAGCCCCUCCUGCCCUUGCCUGGGUGGGGUCAUCACUCUAACAGACUUUCCCCGGAGAGCUGUGUUGCCUUUGGCCCUCCUGUGCUGUUUUCCCUCCCACAGCCUGAAGGGUUUGGAGAAUUCCACCCUCUGCUGUUGCUUGAAGAUCUACUUCUCUGCCCAGGCAAUUCUCAAUCCCUUUCCAGUAUUUCUCAUCAUGGAUUCACAAGUUUUCAUUUUAAAGGUAAGCCUUCCUUCCCCGCCACUCACAACAUUUAGAAACAAAAGAUACACAAAUAAUGGGGAAGCCCCACAGUCCCCAGCAAACCCGAAAUAUCUUGGAUGCAGGCCUUUCAUGGCCAGCCUUUGUCCCAGCCCUGAGGGACACUGGUGUGGAAUUCUGCAGGGACGGCAUAAUGACCCAGACGCUAUGCUGAGCCCCUGCAUCUGCCAUCGUUUUGCAGAGUUUUCAUCAGGAAAGCCUGAGGGGAAGCCAUCCCUCCUGUCAUUUUUGUUUUAA
rnacentral:lncRNA from 1 species